AGAGCGAACGCUGGCGGCAGGCUUAACACAUGCAAGUCGAGCGGGCGUAGCAAUACGUCAGCGGCAGACGGGUGAGUAACGCGUGGGAACAUACCUUUUGGUUCGGAACAACCCAGGGAAACUUGGGCUAAAUACCGGAUAAGCCCUUACGGGGAAAGAUUUAUCGCCGAAAGAUUGGCCCGCGUCUGAUUAGCUAGUUGGUGAGGUAACGGCUCACCAAGGCGACGAUCAGUAGCUGGUCUGAGAGGAUGAUCAGCCACAUUGGGACUGAGACACGGCCCAAACUCCUACGGGAGGCAGCAGUGGGGAAUAUUGGACAAUGGGCGCAAGCCUGAUCCAGCCAUGCCGCGUGAGUGAUGAAGGCCCUAGGGUUGUAAAGCUCUUUUGUGCGGGAAGAUAAUGACGGUACCGCAAGAAUAAGCCCGGCUAACUUCGCGCCAGCAGCCGC
rnacentral:rRNA from 1 species